AUAAAUUAUAUUUACAAUCUAGGAGUUUUAGGACAUAAAUCCCAACAAACUCCCACUUGGACUAAACUCUAGUCACUUUAGGAUAUAAUAAAGUAAUCCUUUGAUACUGGAAAUGAUAAAAUGUACAAGUAUACAACAUAAAACGUAUAUAUACAAAUAUAAUAAACUAAGGCAUCCUCAUACCCAUUACACAUCUCCCACUUGCCCUAGAUUACUUAAUGUACAAAUCUCGUAGACCUAGACUUUCUAGAAGGCCCUCAAACACUUUAGCCAUGAAAGUCUUUGUAAAUGGUUCGGCUUUUGAGCAUAAGAAACUUUAAUAUCACUCAAAAUUGGACCACCCAGUAGUUAGGUGUGAACUUUCGAGGCCUUCGGCACCAUUCUAAGGUAGGCAGUUUCUUUUUAGGCCAUUGGCUCUUUCUUCGCCGUUUUGGGACGAAACCAAAAAACUGAGUCUGGGGCAUCACCGUUCUGCUUUUGUGGGUAAGAAACUUCAAUAUCACUUAAAAUCGGAUCACCUAGUAGUUAGAUGUGAACUUUCGAUGCCUCCAGCACCGUUCUAAGUUGGGUCGUUUCUUUCUAGGCCAUUGCCCCUUUCUUCGGCGUUUUAGGACGAAACCAAAAAACUAAGUUUGGGGCAUCACCCUUCGGCUUUUGUGGGCAAGAAACUUCAAUAUCACUCAAAAUCGGAGUACCCAGUAGUUCGAUGUGAACUUUCGAGGCCUCUGGCACCACUCUCAGUUGGGUCGUUUCUUUCUAGGCCAUUAGCCCUUUCUUCGGCGUUAUGGGAUGGAACCAAAAAACUGAGUUUAGGGCAUCAUUGCCCCGCUAACAUCAAAAAAAUGGCCAAUGUGAUGGCCUAGAAGGAAAUCAUCCAACUUAGAACAGUGUCAAAGGUUUCGAAAGCUCGAAUCUAACUAUUGGGUGAUCACAUUUUGAGGAAUAUGAAAGUUUUUUGUCCAAAAAAGUCAAACAAUGAUGCCCCAAACUAAGUUUUUUGGUUCCGUCCCAAAUUGUCGAAAAAAGGGCCAAUGCGAUGGCCUAGAAGGAAACAACCCAACUUAGAACAGUGCCAAAGGUCUCGAAAGAUCGCAUCUAACUACUAGGUGGUUUCAUUUUGAGUAAUAUGAAAGUUUUGUCCCACAAAAUCUGAACGGUGAUGUCCAGACUCAGUUUUUUUGGUUCCAUCCCAAAACAUCGAAAAAAGGGCCAAUGCAAUGGCCUAGAAGGAAACAACCCAACUUAGAAUAGUGCCAAAGAUCUCGAAAGCUCGCAUCGAACUACUGGGUGGUCUCAUUUUGACUAAUAUAAAAGUUUUUUGCCCAUAAAAGCCGAAUGGUGAUGCCCUAGACUCAGUCUUUUGGUUCCGUCCCAAAACGUUGAAAAAAGGGCCAAUGCGAUGGAAACUAAAAUUAUGUACACUCAUCUAGAGACUCAUGCACACGGGGAUAGAUUACAGUAAAAUGGAGGAUUGUGUGAACUAACUUGCGUUAAGAAAGCGGUAAAGGAAUAUCUCAUAUUAUGAUGCAAGUAAGUUGUAUCACCUCACUAUGGUAUAACUCAUCAAGCUAUCUUAUGUUUAAUGCGCGCUCCUCUUAGAAUAAUUAAAUGUCACACUUGGUUUUCUUUCAGAAUCCAAAUUACUAAGAUUAGAUAAAUGAUUUAUAUGUAGAAAUACCUAUUUAUUCUGCUUAGAGUGCUUCUCAUUUAAACACAACAACCUCUUGGCGUCUUGGUCCACACUUGUUUGCCUCACGAAAUAAAAAUGAUGGAAGUCCUCUCACAAGGUUGAGCGACCUCUACCUUACAUGUGUUAGCCAUGUCCUUUCUACUCACCCUCUCGGGUAGUUGGCGACAUACACUGGACCAAGUGUGGAGUGUAGCUUAGUUAACAGUAAGCAGUAGAAAUACGUACUACUUAAUUAAAGUUCACAUACCUAACUACAAAUAACAUGAAAACAAGUGAAUAAUAUAGGCAUGGAUGGAUUGAGAAAUGUAUAAAUAUACAUUAUAUUCAAGAAUGAAGGUCUUCGGCCAUUAUAUAAUACAACCAAAUACAAUGUAAACAAGUAAUAAACUGGUAAGAGAGAUAAAAUGAAAUACAAGUUAGGGGAAUGAAACACAACUCUUUUCCUCUCAAAAUCUAAGCUUUCGCGUUACACUCUAAUCAGAAAAGAUAAACAAGUGUUGUACAUUCAGUGGCUAGGCUAAUCCUUGCCACCAGCCCUCUAGGUUUUUGCCCCUACAAGUUCCAUUUUUGGCCCAUCCAGGUCCCUCAUGUUUUUGGUGAUGAAGAUGAAGUACUUUUAUAGACAACUUUGGAUGGAAAUCUUCUUUCUUCUAAAAUUUUCAGCGCCAACUUUGGUCCUAUGAAGUCACAUCACUUGAACUACCAUUCUAGCAAGCUUUCCUCACGUGAUGAUGUGGUUCCUCGACUAGAGGUGUUAUUCGCUAAAAAAGUUCCCAUCGCGUUAUUUGUCUGCGAGUUGUCCUUAGUGAUUUGCUACUUUUUUGUCCACUUAUGUUGUAUUUAAACAUGACAACAACGUAAAACAAACAUGAUACUUAUGUAAGAUGUAUUUCUGAAUACUUAUAUAUUUACAACUUAAGUCACACGCCCUAAUAAACUUCUUAUAUGUUUUGACCUCAUUAUUCUAAUAAAAGAGGUUAUAAUAAUGGGUAUUUAUACACGUUAUUACACCAAAGGAACAAAAGUUUGUAAGCAAAAUUAUGAAAAAAUCCAAAGUCAGCAAAACACACAUAACAAAGCACAAUCAGUAUUCUGUGUUAAAACUCAAAGGAAAUCGGGUCAAUCUUGAUCAAGAACAGUAUGACUUACCAAUUGAACUUGGGCAACAUUCAUUCAAGAUGCUUAAAAAACUCGUUCAAAUAAAUUUAUCUAUCCAUCUUGGUGAAGAUUGUGUGUUUUGUUAAAUUAAUGACCAAAAUAUCCUUGAAGGUUCGAACGUUAGAUAUUCUCACAAAACUCUAAAUCUUGGACACUUUGUUCAUUUUGCUAGAGAACUAAAUGAGAUUGCUCCCAAAAUUGAACAAAUUUCUCUGAUUUUUGUUGUGCAAAAUUUGAAGAAGUCAUCAUCGAACUUAAAUCUGUGAAGGUGAAGUACUUUGAAUGGUUACAUAGUUUAGGGUUUAGUUUUUAGUUUUAAAUCUGAGGCAGACAUGAAACUUUGUAGUUGGUGUUCUAAUAUAGUUGGAUGUGAACUAAAGUUUAAGUUAUUGGAGGUGGUUUCAUUCAGAUAAAUCUUGACAAUAUCAUCAAUCUAGGCCCAUGCAUAGAAGGAAUCUCAGUCGAGAUAUAUGAAAUUGCCUCAAGAUUCGUUGAAGGAGUCCCGAGAUCUUAUGCAUUUCACAUGCAUUUUCUAGGGUAAUCCCGGUGACGAUUUCACCCGAGAUUGGACAAGAUACAUCAUAAAAUGUACGUAAAACCUUUAUCUUGUGUCAUCCCGAUGCAAUGUUGUAUGAGUUCAAUUGGCAAUUCAUGUUGAUCUCAUCGAGAUUUCCACAAGGUUGCCUCGAGUUUUAACACAUAAUACUGAUUGUGCUUUGUUACAUGUAUUUUCUAUUCUGCAGAUGCCUCUUGUCACAAAAAUUAACUUUGAGGACUUUAUCUUAGCUAACUUAACAUGUUGUUCACACUUAGUAAAGACAGUGUCAAACAUAAAAAAGAAGUUAACACCUAAGGAGAUUUACAUGUUUAAAAAACAACCCUAUUUGGUCAUUUCCUGGAUGUGAAGUUGGUGUUCAAUGUACCACUUUGCCACUACAUCCUCUUAAGAGAGGUAAAAGACGAAUGGGAUGACGUUAUCUCUUUAAAAUUACUCGGUUAAAAGGUCUCCUUUAGGAGGAAGAAUUUUGAUACCAUCAUGGGAUUGAGGUUUAGGUCGAGAUGUCCCAUUCAGUUUGAGGAGGAUAAAGCUCUGAGGUUAAGACGCUUGUACCUAGGUGAUAGGUCAAACAUGAAUGGAUCGGAGUUAGACAAAAAGUACCCAACCCUAAAUUUUGAAAGCGACAUGGAUACCGAGAAGAUGUCUCUCUUCUAUUUCAUUGAAUUAGCCAUGGUGGGGAGGAAGAAUAGGCAACAUAUGGACUGGACCAUAUUAGGCCUCAUCGAGGACUUGGAUGAGCUAUGACUGAGGCGAGUUGAUAUGGAUCAAGACCCUAGGUAGCUUGAACGGAGCACUAAGAGGAAAGGUUGCCAUGCAUAAGAAGAAACCCAACCCCCAAAUAAAAAGUAUAUGGAGUCCUAUAACCUAUAUGGCUUUCCCUUUGUCUUUCAGGUUUGACCGUAUGGGAUAGUGUCGUUCAUAAGUAGACGAGUAGCCAAUAAAGCUUCGCAUGAUACGAUACCAUGCACCAUGCGAUGGAGUUGCACUUACUCACCUGGGUUGAAGGUGAUCAUUGAGUCACAAGUCUUUGGGUCAUAAACGGCCCAUAUAUAAUUGAUUGAGCCCAUGGAUGAGAAGCUUGCAUACCUAGAUCGAGUUCUUGAUAUCUCUUCUACGGAAGGUUUUGAGGAUAACCUCAAUGCUCCUCUUUGAGAUGAUGAUGCUCCCCCUUCCCAUCCUCAUGUCCAAUAUAAAGUUCCACAUCAUGCCCAUCCUCACGGCCAACAUCAACUUCCACUUCUCGCCCAUCCUAAUGAGGAUAUAACCCCAAUGUCUAAAGCAAAGACAUUGGUGGGCCUUCGGCAUGUAUGGAUCUUGGGGUGGAAGCAUGUGAGGACCACUUGGACUCCAAAAUGUACGAGAUUGAGUUCAAGUUGGACUGCAUGGACUCUAUAUUAUGUUGGAUUUUUUGCCCUCAAUCUCAAAUUAAUUAAUAUUUUGAUGAUAACAAAUCUAAAUUUAUUUGUUGACGAUUUUAUUAUUUUGAAUAAUCCAUAACGUAGAGCUUAGAAUAGUGAUUUUGAUGCC